rnacentral:rRNA from 1 species
CCCUUAGAUGUUCUGGGCCGCACGCGCGCUACAAUGGUGAAUUCAACGAGUUUAUAACCUUGGUUGAAAAGCCUGGGUAAUCUUUUGAACUUUCGUCGUGAUGGGGCUAGACCCUUGCAAUUAUUGGUCUCCAACGAGGAAUUCCUAGUAAACGCAAGUCAUCAGCUUGCAUUGAUUACGUCCCUGCCCUUUGUACACACCGCCUGUCGCUCCUACCGAUUGAACGAUCCGGUGAAAUCUCAGGACUGAGAUUGAUUAACGGUUCGCCGUUACCAGUUUCGGGAAUUUGCUUGAACCUUAUCGUUUAGAGGAAGGAGAAGUCGUAACA